AUUGAACGCUGGCGGCAGGCCUAACACAUGCAAGUCGAGCGGAUGACGGGAGCUUGCUCCUGGAUUCAGCGGCGGACGGGUGAGUAAUGCCUAGGAAUCUGCCUGGUAGUGGGGGACAACGUUUCGAAAGGAACGCUAAUACCGCAUACGUCCUACGGGAGAAAGCAGGGGACCUUCGGGCCUUGCGCUAUCAGAUGAGCCUAGGUCGGAUUAGCUAGUUGGUGAGGUAAUGGCUCACCAAGGCGACGAUCCGUAACUGGUCUGAGAGGAUGAUCAGUCACACUGGAACUGAGACACGGUCCAGACUCCUACGGGAGGCAGCAGUGGGGAAUAUUGGACAAUGGGCGAAAGCCUGAUCCAGCCAUGCCGCGUGUGUGAAGAAGGUCUUCGGAUUGUAAAGCACCUUAAGUUGGGAGGAAGGGCAGUAAGUUAAUACCUUGCUGUUUUGACGUUACCGACAGAAUAAGCACCGGCUAACUCUGUGCCAGCCGCCGCCGUAACAU
rnacentral:rRNA from 1 species